UUGUAUAAUGGGUCAGCGACUUACGUUCUGUAGCGAGCUUAACCGAAUAGGGGAGGCGUAGCGAAAGCGAGUCUGAUAAGGGCGCUUUAGUUGCAGGGCGUAGACCCGAAACCAGAUGAUCUAUCCAUGGCCAGGAUGAAGGUGCCGUAACAGGUACUGGAGGUCCGAACCCACUAAUGUUGAAAAAUUAGGGGAUGAGCUGUGGAUAGGGGUGAAAGGCUAAACAAAUCUGGAAAUAGCUGGUUCUCCCCGAAAGCUAUUUAGGUAGCGCCUCAUGUAUCACUCGCGGGGGUAGAGCACUGUAAUGGUUGGAGGGGUCAUUGCGAUCUACUCCGCCAUAGCAAACUCCGAAUACCGCGAAGUGCGAGCAUGGGAGACAGACGGUGGGUGCUAACGUCCAUCGUCAAGAGGGAAACAACCCAGACCGCCAGCUAAGGUCCCCAAGCCAUGGUUAAGUGGAAAACGAAGUGGGAAGGCAUAGACAGUCAGGAAGUUGGCUUAGAAGCAGCCAUCC
rnacentral:rRNA from 1 species